ACCAGAUGCCCUGGUGAUCCUGGGUUCCUUACCCAGGGCAUGUCCCCAAUUCCACAUUAAGGACCCCAAGAACCGAAGUAGUCAUCAGAAGGUUCUUUGAUGUGCACACCAUCUGAGCAAAGGUAAUUCCUCAGCCUGGCCCCUGGGACUUCCUCUCUGUCAUGUGUUCACGUGGUUCAUGCACCUUCCUCCCUCCUGCUGCCUGGAACAUGGAUGUCUCCAUCUUGAACCUUGGAGGCUGACCUUUUGGAUCAUGAAGACUAAAACACCGGAACGGCAGGACAGCAUGCUAAAAGAAACCUAGAUUCUGGUGACUUUAUGGAACAGAGACAUGAUGUUAGCUCUGCUCUGUAUCACUCUAUAUUUUUCUGUAAUAGAGAAAUAAGCAUCUACCUGUGAAAGCC